rnacentral:lncRNA from 1 species
UCAACACAUUUUAUACUCAUCACCAAGUGCUUUUACAUUCCACAAACAGACAGAUAGAGUAGUACUCCUCACAACGAUACAACGAGCACCUAGAUGUGACCAAGCUACUGGUAGGGAAGGAAAACAUGUGAAAACUAAGGAAGAGGUGAAGCACAUCAGAAGAUUGCUCCUAGCACACAUGUAAGGGAAUAAGUAGAACCACUAUGUAGGGAAGGUAUAUGGACGGUUUGUCACUGUCGGGACACCAUGGGGGCACGCGUGGUUGUUUGAGCGCAUCAUGG